rnacentral:rRNA from 1 species
GACGAACGCUGGCGGCGUGCUUAACACAUGCAAGUCGAACGGAAAGGCCCUGCUUUUGUGGUGUGCCCGAUUGGCGAACGGGUGAGUAACACGUGAGUAACCUGCCCUUGACUUUGGGAUAACUUCAGGAAACUGGGGCUAAUCCCGGAUCGGAGCUCCUGCGGCAUGGUGGGGGUGGGAAAGUUUCGGCGGUUGGGGAUGGACUCGCGGCUUAUCAGCUUGGUGGUGGGGGAGUGGCUUACCAAGGCUUGGACGGGUAGCCGGCCUGUGAGGGUGACCGGCCACAUUGGGACUGAGAGACGGCCCAGACGCCUACGGGAGGCAGCAGUGGGGAAUAUGGCACAAUGGGCGGAAGCCGGAGGCAGCAGCGCCGCGUGCGGGAUGACGGCCUUCGGGGUGUAAACCGCAGUCGCCUAUGACGACGCGGGAGUGACGGUAACGGGUAAAGAAGCACCGGCUAACUACGUG